rnacentral:rRNA from 1 species
UACGUAGGGCGCAAGCGUUUGUCCGGAAUUAUUGGGCGUAAAGAGCUCGUAGGCGGCUUGUCACGUCGGGUGUGAAAGCCCGGGGCUUAACCCCGGGUCUGCAUUCGAUACGGGCUAGCUAGAGUGUGGUAGGGGAGAUCGGAAUUCCUGGUGUAGCGGUGAAAUGCGCAGAUAUCAGGAGGAACACCGGUGGCGAAGGCGGGUCUCUGGGCCGAUACUGACGCUGAGGAGCGAAAGCGUGGGGAGCGAACAGG